rnacentral:rRNA from 1 species
UGGUUUAGCAAGGUCAUCGGAUUGGUACCAUUGUGGCCAUUCUGUGGCUCGACCGGUGCCGAGAAGACGACCGAACUUGAUCAUUUAGAGGAAGUAAAAGUCGUAACAAGGUUUCCGUAGGUGAACCUGCGGAAGGAUCAUUA